GAUGAACGCUGGCGGCGUGCCUAAUACAUGCAAGUCGAGCGAAGCGGGGACGGGUGAGUAACACGUGGAUAACCUCCUAUAAGACGGGGAUAAAUUCGGGGAACCGGAGCUAAACCGGAUACUUAGAGAUGGAUCCAGGCUGCAUUAGCUAGUUGGUAAGGUAACGGCUUACCAAGGCAACGAUCCAUAGCCGACCUGAGAGGGGGAUCGGCCACAAUGGAACUGAGAAACGGUCCAGACUCCUACGGGAGGCAGCAGUGGGGAAUCUUCCGCAAUGGGCGAAAGCCUGACGGAGCAACGCCGCGUGAGUGAUGAAGGUCUUCGGAUCGUAAACCUCUGUUAUUAGGGAAGCGGUACCUAAUCAGAAAGCCACGGCUAACUACGUGCCAGCAGCCGCGGUAAUUC
rnacentral:rRNA from 1 species